AGUCGAGGGGUAGGGUAGCAAUACCUGAGACCGGCGCACGGGUGCGUAACGCGUAUGCAAUCUACCUUUUACAGUGGAAUAGCCCAGAGAAAUUUGGAUUAAUACUGCAUAGUAUAAUUGAAUGGCAUCAUUUAAUUAUUAAAGAUUUAUCGGUAAAAGAUGAGCAUGCGUCCCAUUAGCUAGUUGGUAAGGUAACGGCUUACCAAGGCAACGAUGGGUAGGGGUCCUGAGAGGGAGAUCCCCCACACUGGUACUGAGACACGGACCAGACUCCUACGGGAGGCAGCAGUGAGGAAUAUUGGACAAUGGGCGCAAGCCUGAUCCAGCCAUGCCGCGUGCAGGAUGACGGUCCUACGGAUUGUAAACUGCUUUUAUACGAGAAGAAACACUGCUACGUGUAGCAGCUUGACGGUAUCGUAAGAAUAAGGAUCGGCUAACUCCGUGCCAGCAGCCGCGGUAAUACGGAGGAUCCAAGCGUUAUCCGGAAUCAUUGGGUUUAAAGGGUCCGUAGGCGGUUUGAUAAGUCAGUGGUGAAAUCUUUCGGCUCAACCGAGAAAUGGCCAUUGAUACUGUCAGACUUGAAUUAUUAGGAAGUAACUAGAAUAUGUAGUGUAGCGGUGAAAUGCUUAGAGAUUACAUGGAAUACCAAUUGCGAAGGCAGGUUACUACUAAUUGAUUGACGCUGAUGGACGAAAGCGUGGGUAGCGAACAGGAUUAGAUACCCUGGUAGUCCACGCCGUAAACGAUGGAUACUAGCUGUUGGGCGCAAGUUCAGUGGCUAAGCGAAGUGAUAAGUAUCCCACCUGGGGAGUACGUUCGCAAGAAUGAAACUCAAGGAAUUGACGGGGCCCGCACA
rnacentral:rRNA from 1 species